GACGAACGCUGGCGGCGUGCCUAAUACAUGCAAGUUGAGCGCUGAAGGUUGGUACUUGUACCAACUGGAUGAGCAGCGAACGGGUGAGUAACGCGUGGGGAAUCUGCCUUUGAGCGGGGGACAACAUUUGGAAACGAAUGCUAAUACCGCAUAAAAACUUUAAACACAAGUUUUAAGUUUGAAAGAUGCAAUUGCAUCACUCAAAGAUGAUCCCGCGUAGUAUUAGCUAGUUGGUGAGGUAAAGGCUCACCAAGGCGAUGAUACAUAGCCGACCUGAGAGGGUGAUCGGCCACAUUGGGACUGAGACACGGCCCAAACUCCUACGGGAGGCAGCAGUAGGGAAUCUUCGGCAAUGGACGAAAGUCUGACCGAGCAACGCCGCGUGAGUGAAGAAGGUUUUCGGAUCGUAAAACUCUGUUGGUAGAGAAGAACGUUGGUGAGAGUGGAAAGCUCAUCAAGUGACGGUAACUACCCAGAAAGGGACGGCUAACUACGUG
rnacentral:rRNA from 1 species